GGCUCCGCCAGAGGUGAUACGGCCCCACAGUGGAAGAAAAAGGAACCACUGGGGAGACCUGCAGCAAUGGGCCAGUCUCACAGAUGGUAUGUGGAGCGACAGAGGAUGCACCCCAAAAAGUACACCCUGUAGGAUUCAUCCCUGUCGAGUCCCAGAACAGGCGAAAGCAUUCUCGGUGGUGGAAGGCACAGGAGUGGCACCUCAGACACUUGCUCUUGGAACCGAGGCACCCUGCUGCCAGGAAGCCCGGGCCAUGUGAAGAGGCCACCUAUUGGUGUUCCAGCCCAUAGCCCAAGAUAAGGUCUUAGCAUCAACCGUCAGGGACCAAGGGAGCCAAACUUCAGAGGAUUCCAGCCCCCAGCCUUUGAGUCUUCCAUCUGAGGCCCCAGACAUCAGAGGUACCAGUGACAAACUGUCCUCACCGUGUUCCGUCUGCAUUCCUGACCCCCACAACCCACGAGCAUAAUAAGUGGUUACUUCGUGCCAACUUCUGGGUGAUUGGUUAUAUAGCCAUAGUAACUGGCACAGUGGGCAAAGUGAAAUAGAACAGUGGGACUUCCAGAAAGCAGUUCCACGGGCAGGAGGAGUCUGGUGGCCCCCACCAGAGCAAUCUGGCUACUGAAGCUGGCUUCCACCAGGUAUACAUUGGAGAGCAAGGGCAGGCGUUCUGGACAGAGAAAACCGCUUGUGUGAGGCCUCAAGCUGGGAAAGGGCCUAGCAGGAGGAAGGCCAUGGGGCUAGAGCACAGCCCUGCGGGGACAGGGUGGGUGGUGCAAGGGGCCACCCUUCAUCCUGAGCACUUGGAGGCCCCUGGGUCAGAGCUGCUUCCAGGUGAGAAGGGGAGAGGGCGAGGCAGAGGAACAGGCCACUGGUCAGGCCCAGUGAGUGAGGAUGAGGCCUCUGCUCUGGUGGGGUGUAGGCAAGAGGGCCUGACCGAGCCAUGGGAGGGGCAAGGACCAGACACUGUGUGGGAAUCAGGGGCUCCUGUCUGGAUGGAUGUGGGACUAGGGCCAGAAGCUGAGGCGGCAGGAGGCGCGGAUACCUGUGUGGAGGGACGAGGGUGCCACUAGAAGGGCAGUAUACGAUCUGCUCCUUUUUGCAGCGUGGCCUUUGCUAGCUGUCCUUCCUCUGGGAAGGUCCCCUGGGGAGGGGACAUCUACUGCAGUCCCUUUCCCUCUUCACUUAAGCCCUGUGACCUAUCUCUUUAUUCCUCUGAGACUGAGACACAGGAGAGCACCCGCUGCUGCCUGCUUCCUCAACUAUGGCCGAGACGAUGUCAGGCCCUCAGGAGUCUGCUGGGCUUUUCCCCAGCUGGGGACACUCUCUGGCCAGAACUGAACGAUGGACAGCAUUGAGCCCACGUUACGGCACGUGCCUGGGGGAAAGGCAGCCUGCUUGGUGGCUGUAAGUACACCCUCUGCUCCGAUUCUAGUGCCAAGCACCUACCGACAGGAAGUGGGAUGCCCCUCACCCAGCAGCAGGAGGAUGCCUGGCACGCCGGGCCUAGCUCACUGGCCUCACCUCGAGCCUUCCGGAGCCUCCCUCGCUGGAGGACUUCCCCUGGGAUCCCUUGGUCCUGAAACUGUUUCUCGUGUUCCUAGUACAGACACAGGUCUCUUCGCCCCUUUCCUGGCAGUCUGGGGGCCCCAGUGUGUCCCAGCAUCCGCGUAGCCUCCCACUCUGAGGGCGCUGGGUGGAGUCUGCUGAAGGGACGGUGGGCUGAUGCUGGAUGGAUUCUCUGGGUCAGCGCAUCAACGACCCCGGCCUCCGCGGUCUGUCACCUUUCUAUGAGGGUCCUUUCUCACAACAGCUGUGCCUCUCAGUGCAGAAAUUUCUGGUGACACCUAUGCAUCCUUAAGAGGCAAAGAACGCUGUCUGCGAUGGAGGCAAAUUACAAAAUUAAAGCUGUCAGCAGCCCCUCUACUGGCACUGUCAGCCGUGGGGGACGGUCACUGGGGAGGAGCUGGGAACUCAGUGGGCGGGGGAGCACCAGCUCACUCAGAGGCUGCCCCGGCCCUGGAUGGGACUGGUGAGACCCUUGCUCUGCACAGCCGUCAGUGAGGGGACAGAGGACCCACCUCGACCACCUGCAGCCUCUUCCCACUCACCUGGCAGAGGGGGAGCCAGGGGCAUGGCUUCUGCCUGAAGAAGGGGCCCUGGAAGGAAGAUGUGUCCAUACGAUUCACCCAGAGCUGGCCCUGAGAUCAGCUGAAGAGCGGCUCGUUUCGGCGGGAGGAACGAACACCAUACAGGGCUGGGGAAGGGAGUCAGGAGAAGCAGGGCCACCAGCACCUGGACUCAGGCCUGCAGGGAAGCCCCCUGCACUCACCUCUUCUCAGCCAGUGACGCAGUGAACAUGAUACUGGAUACUUAACCCUGGUCUACCUCAGAGCAAAGGCAGGGUGGGAUAGGGCCCUGAAAGCCCUGUCUGCAUUUUGGUGAACAUCUGUUUGUGUGCUCUGUGGCCAUCUGCC